rnacentral:rRNA from 1 species
UGAGUGCGAGCGGCUACGGCCGCGAAGUGGGUGAUGUCAAGCUUCCAAGAAAAGCCCUAUACCCGUUAAGGCAUGAUGGCCUGUACCCGAAACCGACACAGGUGGGGUGGUAGAGAAUACCGAGGGGCGCGAGGUAACUCUCUCUAAGGAACUCGGCAAAAUGGCCCCGUAACUUCGGGAGAAGGGGUGCCACCGCAAGGUGGUCGCAGUGAAGAGGCCCAGGCGACUGUUUACCAAAAACACAGGUCUCCGCUAAGUCGCAAGACGAUGUAUGGGGGCUGACGCCUGCCCAGUGCCGGAAGGUUAAGGAAGCUGGUCAGCGCAAGCGAAGCUGGCGACUGAAGCCCCGGUGAACGGCGGCCGUAACAAUAACGGUCCUAAGGUAGCGAAAUUCCUUGUCGGGUAAGUUCCGACCCGCACGAAAGGCGUAACGAUCUGGGCGCUGUCUCGGAGGGAGGCUCGGCGAAAUAGAAUUGUCUGUGAAGAUGCGGACUACGUGCACCCGGACAGAAAGACCCUAUGAAGCUUUACUGUAGCUUGGUAUUGUGCCCGGGCUCUGAAUGCGCAGGAUAGGUGGGAGGCUUUGAUCCAUGGCUUGCGGGUCAUGGUGAGCCAACGGUGAGAUACCACUCUUUCAGAGCUAGGGUUCUAACGGUCACCCGUCAUCCGGGGACCGGACAGUAUCAGGUGGCAGUUUGACUGGGGCGGUCGCCUCCUAAAAGGUAACGGAGGCGCGCAAAGGUUUGCUCAGGCUGGUUGGAAAUCAGCCGACGAGUGCAAAAGCAGAAGCAAGCUUGACUGUGAGACCUACAAGUCGAACAGGGACGAAAGUCGGCUUUAGUGAUCCGACGGUUCUGAGUGGAAGGGCCGUCGCUCAACGGAUAAAAGUUACUCUAGGAUAACAGGCUGAUCUCCCCCAAGAGUUCACAUCGACGGGGAGGUUUGGCACCUCGAUGUCGGCUCAUCGCAACCUGGGGCUGAAGUCGGUCCCAAGGGUUGGGCUGUUCGCCCAUUAAAGCGGUACGCGAGCUGGGUUCAGAACGUCGUGAGACAGUUCGGUCCAUAUCCGGUGCACGCGCAGGAACAUUGAGAGGAUUUCUCCCUAGUACGAGAGGACCGGGAGGAACGCACCUCUGGUGUGCCAGUUAUCGUGCCAACGGUAAACGCUGGGUAGCCAUGUGCGGAGUGGAUAACCGCUGAAAGCAUCUAAGUGGGAAGCCCACCUCAAGAUGAGUGUUCCCAUGGCAUAAGCCAGUAAGGUCACGGGAAGAACACCCGUUGAUAGGCUCUACGUGGAAGCCGGGUAACCGGUGAAGCGGAGGAGUACUAAUAGACCGAGGGCUUGACC